rnacentral:misc_RNA from 1 species
CAACAAACAAAGGAGGAGAAGUUGAAAAAAGAAACUUGUAUAUUGUGGUCAAAUCGAAUUUCCAAAACUAGAUAUGGGGAGGAAAAAGGAAAUUGAUAGAAUUGUGAGAAUCAUUAAACUCAAAUUAUGAAGAUCAUUAACUGGAUAAGUUAUGAAUCAAAUACUAAAAUUAGCGCUGUUUGCUAAUGGCCUUUUCUUGUGACUCCUAAAAAUGGCAGUCACGUCACCACCAUUUCUCUGCUCUCUCCAAUUGUUUGGUAUGCUAGUUGUUAUAGGAACCAAUUCCGGAACCAGAGAAACAUGUGUUCUUGAAUUCAAUCCAAUCAUAGGAAAGAAAAACAAAAGAGAAAAAAAAAUACCCAUAUUUUUCUGUGGGAAAUGGUAGAGACUUACAUCUCUAAUCCUCUUCAUUUCCCUAAUUGUAAUUAACCACAUAAUUAUUCAUCCUCCAAUCCCAAGCAAAUACACAAAACAAGAAAGACAAACAUAUAAGAAAUUACCCAAAUUCAACAAAUCUAGCUAUCAUGGUGCAUCAACAUGUUUAUUGCCAGUGGCACACAUAGUUGAACCAAGAGCACCGUAAUUUAUAUAUCGGCUAGGAGCAGAAGUUAAGUGAAACCCUUUUGGCAAGCAAUUCUCUACAUUUCUUCCACCAAACCCUCCACCCCCAUGACUUGUUUUCGGCUUGAAGGUCGCGAAACCCUUCAAUGAUUCCGAUUCCAAUGGCCUCGCAGCUGCCACAAGUUGCGGCAUAGAAUUUGUGGUGGUCAUCAUCACCGGAGGAGACAGAAUGAGGAGAGAAUAGAAGAAGAGCAUGAAGAAAACAAAAGAAGAAGCAGACAUAUUGAUAGUUGAAGUUGGUAUUUUGUAUAUGUAAUUGGUUAGAGUAUAGGGAUUAUAAAGUAUUAAAUUUUUGUAGAGGGAAGAAGGGAGAGGUAGGGCUUUAAAUAGGGCAAACUCGUGAAUGAAAUGAAGAAUGUAGAUAAGAAACCAA